GCACAACGCGAAGAACCUUACCAAGGCUUGACAUAUUCGAGAACACCCUAGAAAUAGGGGACUCUUUGGACACUCGUUUACAGGUGGUGCAUGGUUGUCGUCAGCUCGUGUCGUGAGAUGUUGGGUUAAGUCCCGCAACGAGCGCAACCCUCGUUCUAUGUUGCCAGCACGUUAUGGUGGGAACUCAUGGGAUACUGCCGGGGUCAACUCGGAGGAAGGUGGGGAUGACGCCAAAUCAUCAUGCCCCUUAUGUCUUGGGCUUCACGCAUGCUACAAUGGCCGGUACAAUGGGCUGCGAUACCGUGAGGUGGAGCGAAUCCCAAAAAGCCGGUCCCAGUUCGGAUUGUAGUCUGCAACUCGACUACAUGAAGUCGGAGUCGCUAGUAAUCGCAGAUCAGCAACGCUGCGGUGAAUACGUUCCCGGGUCUUGUACACACCG
rnacentral:rRNA from 1 species